rnacentral:rRNA from 1 species
AUGAGGCUCGCUGCAACUUCCAGUGUUCUUGUCACCCUCUUCUUCAUUGCUCUCUUCCUUGGCUCAUGCGAGGCUCGACGCCUUCUUGUCCAUGGCGCCACGGGCAGUUCAAGCGAGUCACCUCCUGCGCCGCGCAAGGCUGAUGGUUCUCCGAUAAACCAGCCGAACGAUCUAUCAACUGCGGACGCUAAGGAUGCUUGCGUUGAUCAUUUCGACGCCAAGGUGAAGGAGGGAGUGGCGGUACCAUCAGGCGCAGCUCGGAUGGCGGUUAUCGGUAGGGUUUCACGGCGGCUUUCUCAUAGGAAUUUGCAAGUGGUGGGCACAGCGUUUCAUCUAGAUUAUGCUGGGCCUGAGACCCAUCCCCCCACUCACAACUGA